rnacentral:tRNA from 1 species
GGGUCGUUAGCGUAAGCAACGCAGCCAGACUCCAAAUCUGGAAGUUGUAGGUUCAAGUCCUACAUGGCCCGCCA